rnacentral:rRNA from 1 species
AUUGAACGCUGGCGGCAGGCCUAACACAUGCAAGUCGAGCGGAUGAAGGGAGCUUGCUCCUGGAUUCAGCGGCGGACGGGUGAGUAAUGCCUAGGAAUCUGCCUGGUAGUGGGGGAUAACGUCCGGAAACGGGCGCUAAUACCGCAUACGUCCUGAGGGAGAAAGUGGGGGAUCUUCGGACCUCACGCUAUCAGAUGAGCCUAGGUCGGAUUAGCUAGUUGGUGGGGUAAAGGCCUACCAAGGCGACGAUCCGUAACUGGUCUGAGAGGAUGAUCAGUCACACUGGAACUGAGACACGGUCCAGACUCCUACGGGAGGCAGCAGUGGGGAAUAUUGGGCAAUGGGCGAAAGCCUGAUCCAGCCAUGCCGCGUGUGUGAAGAAGGUCUUCGGAUUGUAAAGCACUUUAAGUUGGGAGGAAGGGCAGUAAGUUAAUACCUUGCUGUUUUGACGUUACCAACAGAAUAAGCACCGGCUAACUUCGUA